GAUCAACGCUGGCGGCGUGCCUAAUGCAUGCAAGUCGCGCGCGGACCUCUUCGGGGGUGCUGCGCGGCGGACGGGUGCGUAACACGUGGGCAACCUGCCCUGGGGUGGGGGAUAGCCGUGGGAAACCGCGGGUAAUUCCGCAUACGUUCUUGCCUCGAUCGGAGGUGAGAAGAAAGGGAGCAAUCCCGCCCUUGGAGGGGCCUGCGGCCGAUUAGCUAGACGGUGGGGUGACGGCCUACCGUGGCGAUGAUCGGUAGCUGGUCUGAGAGGACGGCCAGCCACACGGGGACUGAGACACGGCCCCGACUCCUACGGGAGGCAGCAGCAAGGAAUCUUCCGCAAUGGGGGCAACCCUGACGGAGCAACGCCGCGUGGGGGAUGACGCCCUUCGGGGUGUAAACCCCUUUUCUUCGGGAAGAAGUUCUGACGGUACCGGAGGAAGAAGGACCGGCUAACUACGUGCCAGCCGCCGCCGUAAGAC
rnacentral:rRNA from 1 species